UGAACUUUAAUGGUGAUCUUUAUUCAAAUUACAGUUUCUGUGCACACCUGUAAUCCCAGCUACUCCAGAAGUUGAUGGGAGCAUCCCUUGAGCCCAGGAGUUCAAGUCCAGCCUGGGCAACAUAGUGAAAUCCCACCUCUCAAUCUUUUAAAAAAUUAAAUUACAACUUCCCAUAUUAUAAAAAAGUACUGCAGCUCCAAGCUUGAAUGGAAAUUCAUUAGAUUUUUAUAAAUUUGAAGGAAGUUUAUUUCUGAAAAUAAAUUUUGUUGAAUUUCUUCUUAAGGUGGAAAUUUGUUUUUCAUUCCUUUUCUUUGCAUGUGAGUUUUGUAUCAGUUGUGGAACUCUAUAGCUCCACUACAUAUUUGGGUAUUUGAAUAUUUGAAUCUGUUGUGCUUUUUCCAGGAAAUUCUGAAUUUUAGGAUAGUCUACAGGUACCAUAAAUUGAGAAGUCCAAACAAUUCAUUAUCUUCCUUGAAGCCCAAACCUGCCAUUUUUCUCAGAUAGGAAAGCCACCAAACAUAGGGAGCAUGCCUGCCACUUCCCUCUGGCCCGUCUCUGGCUCAUCCGCCACAGAGACCUAUUUAUUACAUCCCCUGAGUAUUCUUCUAAUUCCCCCUCCUUUCCAUCCCCACUCUUUCAGCCACACUUCAGGACCAUGGUCUGUGCAUCGCUUAGUCUCAUCCUAAUUUAUCCGCAGCUCCACCCACUCCAACCUCCUCUCCCCUCUCUAAGACAACCUUUACUUCCCCACCUAUGCCUGUUCCAAUUUACUGUCUCUGAACCCCACAUAUGCCCUUUUCUGCCCUACAUUAUGAUAACUGGAGCUGGACCUAAUUUCUUUCGUUAGCGGGCACAAUGUUAGACCUUGUCAGUAGAGGGCGCUAGAGGGACACUGCACAAGGAAGGGGCUUCUCUUCUGGUUCCAGCUCUGUUCUUAGAAAACAAUGAGCUGUCUCCUUGCCAACCAGCAGCUCCCUUGGUAGGGGCAUGCAGAAGACCUGAUGACACAAACCCUCCAAAGAGUUUCACCCUCACCACAACAGGUGGCUUCCUGCUCGGCAGCCCAUCCUGCAUCACUUCAGUGGACUUCUCUGACAUCUACUAGACCACAUUAAAUGAAUCACAGCCUUGAAACUGAACUGGAAGGACUUCCUUCAAGGAGCCAGCAUAUGAACUUGCUGCCUAUCUUUAGCAAGGAGAUGCAAAUGACAUCCACAAACCUCUUCUGCUGUAUACCUGGAUGAAAGCAAGGCUAGCUGUGUGUCCUAUGGCACCAAGGACUGAAAGAUUGUAAGAAGUAAGAGGGAAAGUGAUCCAAAAAGGUGGAACACCUAAUGUACAGCCCCAAGGAAGGAGCAUACUUGGAGAAUUCAAGGAACAGAAAGAAAAACAGGAAGGCUGGAGUGAAACUGAUUAAAUAAAGCAUCGUAACAUUAGAGGUCCAUCAUAGAGGCCAAGCCAAAUACAACUAUGUUUUCAAGCAUAAGAUGGAUAGAUGUGGUAAACCACAAGAAGCAAACAGCCCUUUAGAGGUGUGGAUUGACCUUGCAGAGUUACAAGUGGAGCCAGGAGAAAUCAUGUUGAGUGGGACUUCUCAUCCUACCUAAGAGAGACUAACAGAUGGAAAGCUGGGUACAGAAGGGAGAGAAGGCAGUAACAGUCAGAUUUCAAUACGCUGAGACUGUGACGUGGGACUUUUGAGUGAGUAACAUCUGCUCCUAGAACUGAGUUGAGUGGGGAUCCUCCCACACCACCCAGGCAAGAGAACUAACAAUUGAUGACUGCUCCAAAUCAGUCGCCAGUCUACCUAAUACUUCUACCUGGUAGGUAGCCUGAUACCCACUAACAUCAGACAGAGCCUCACUCUGUCACCCAGGCUGGAGUGCUAGAGUGCAGUGGCAUGAUCAUAGCUCCCUGAAGCCUUGAGCUCCUGGUCCCAAGAGAUCCUCUUGCCUCAGCUUUGCCAGAAGUGCUCUUCCUCUCUGUCCAGUGGGCAAGCACCAAUUCAUUUUCAAACUCUCCACUGAAGCAUCAAUUUUCUGUAAUGCCUUUCUUGACCUCAGAUGUGAUGCCAGAAGUAGAGCAGCCAUCUUGCAACCACAAAGCAACAGCAUGAGUAUGAAAGUUAGUGCAUUAAGGAUGCUGGAAUAGAAUGAUUGAAAGCCAGAUGCCUAAUGACGUUGCUGAAUAGCUGAAACAAUACCAGCAACUAGCUGGUCUUGCUCUGUUGCCUGGCCUGAAGUGCAGUGGCAUGAUCAUGGCUCACUGCAGCCUCAACCUCCCAGGCACAAGUGAUCCUCCCACCUCAACUUCCAGAAUAUAGAAGCUGGAACUACAGUGACCUACAUCCAAAGUGAAAAGUUAUUCAGCCUCUGAAGAGAAGCAUUUUGUUUGGGGAUCUUCAAGUAUGCUUGUCAGCACCGAGAACUGGAAAAAAAUCUCUGAUUGUCCUGCAGCAAUGGCAUUAAAGGCUCCUCAUAACAUACAGAACCAGAAUUGUGCCAUAAUUUACUGAAAUUGAACAUUGCUCUGUGACUGCUAAUUUUCCAUCGAGAUGAUUCUGUCUCUAACCAAGAAAAGAAAAGUUUGUCUUCCUGACUGCUGACACUGCUGACCAAGCCCACCACCAGAUGCCUGGCUGCACACCCAGAGGGCAGCCGCUUCCCGUGGUCCUCUCGAAGAACUUCCCUUUUGCAAUGCAUGUUUAGCAAGUGGAUGAGUUUGUCUUUUCUGAUUUCUCUGCAAGCUCUGCAUUGCCCACCUGAACCAGUGCUUCAGAAGAACUAAUGGGAUCUCUGACCCUCCAACAUCCUCUUCCAGACUUUCACUUUCCUGGCUCCUUGCAGGGACAUGUAAUAAACGUGCUCUCCAGAGAAAGCCUGA
rnacentral:lncRNA from 1 species